CAUCGACGGGGAGGUUUGGCACCUCGAUGUCGGCUCAUCGCAUCCUGGGGCUGUAGUCGGUCCCAAGGGUUGGGCUGUUCGCCCAUUAAAGCGGUACGCGAGCUGGGUUCAGAACGUCGUGAGACAGUUCGGUCCCUAUCCGUCGUGGGCGUAGGAAAUUUGAGAGGAGCUGUCCUUAGUACGAGAGGACCGGGAUGGACAUACCUCUGGUGUACCAGUUGUCGUGCCAACGGCAUAGCUGGGUAGCUAUGUGUGGACGGGAUAAGUGCUGAAAGCAUCUAAGCAUGAAGCCCCCCUCAAGAUGAGAUUUCCCAACUUCGGUUAUAAGAUCCCUCAAAGAUGAUGAGGUUAAUAGGUUCGAGGUGGAAGCAUGGUGACAUGUGGAGCUGACGAAUACUAAUCGAUCGAAGACUUAAUCAAAA
rnacentral:rRNA from 1 species